CGCACGGGUGAGUAACACGUAUCCAACCUGCCGUCUACUCUUGGCCAGCCUUCUGAAAGGAAGAUUAAUCCAGGAUGGCAUCAUGAGUUCACAUGUCCGCAUGAUUAAAGGUAUUUUCCGGUAGACGAUGGGGAUGCGUUCCAUUAGAUAGUAGGCGGGGUAACGGCCCACCUAGUCAACGAUGGAUAGGGGUUCUGAGAGGAAGGUCCCCCACAUUGGAACUGAGACACGGCCCAA
rnacentral:rRNA from 1 species